UACGGAAGGCAGCAGUGGGGAAUAUUGCACAAUGGGCGAAAGCCUGAUGCAGCUAUGCCGCGUGUAUGAAGAAGGCCUUAGGGUUGUAAAGUACUUUCAUCGGGGAGGAAAAAACAAAACUAAUAAUUUUAUUUCUUGACGUUACCCGAAAAAGAAGCACCGGCUAACUCCGUGCCAGCAGCCGCGGUAAUACGGAGGGUGCUAGCGUUAAUCAGAAUUACUGGGCGUAAAGAGCACGUAGGUGGUUUUUUUAAGUCAGAUGUGAAAUCCCUGGGCUUAACCUAGGAACUGCAUUUUGAAACUGAAAUACUAGAGUAUCGUAGAGGGAGGUAGAAUUCUAGGUGUAGCGGUGAAAUGCGUAGAUAUCUGGAGGAAUACCUGUGGCGAAAGCGGCCUCCUAAACGAAUACUGACACUGAGGUGCGAAAGCGUGGGGAGCAAAACGAGGGAUUAGAUACC
rnacentral:rRNA from 1 species